rnacentral:rRNA from 1 species
UACGAAGGGUGCAAGCGUUAAUCGGAAUUACUGGGCGUAAAGCGUGCGCAGGCGGUUCGUUGUGUCGGCGGUGAAAGCCCCGGGCUUAACCUGGGAAUGGCCGUUGAAACUGGCGAACUGGAGUGUGGCAGAGGGGGGUGGAAUUCCGCGUGUAGCAGUGAAAUGCGUAGAGAUGCGGAGGAACACCGAUGGCGAAGGCAGCCCCCUGAGCUAACACUGACGCUCAGGCACGAAAGCGUGGGGAGCAAACAGG